CUGGCUCAGGAUGAACGCUAGCUACAGGCUUAACACAUGCAAGUCGAGGGGCAGCAUUGGAGUAGCAAUACUCAGAUGGCGACCGGCGCACGGGUGAGUAACACGUAUCCAACCUGCCGCUUACUCGGGGAUAGCCUUUCGAAAGAAAGAUUAAUACCCGAUGGUAUAAAGAGUUCGCAUGUUCUCUUUAUUAAAGAAUUUCGGUAAGCGAUGGGGAUGCGUUCCAUUAGAUAGUUGGCGGGGUAACGGCCCACCAAGUCUACGAUGGAUAGGGGUUCUGAGAGGAAGGUCCCCCACAUUGGAACUGAGACACGGUCCAAACUCCUACGGGAGGCAGCAGUGAGGAAUAUUGGUCAAUGGACGAGAGUCUGAACCAGCCAAAGUAGCGUGAAGGAUGACUGCCCUAUGGGUUGUAAACUUCUUUUAUAAGGGAAUAAAGUGAGGGACGUGUCCCUUUUUGUAUGUACCUUAUGAAUAGGGAUCGGCUAACUCCGUGCCAGCCGCGGC
rnacentral:rRNA from 1 species